UACGUAGGUGACAAGCGUUGUCCGGAUUUACUGGGCGUAAGAGCGCGCAGGCGGUCGUUCAAGUCGAGUGUGAAGCCCCCGGCUCAACUGGGGAGGGUCACUCGAUACUGAUCGACUCGAAGGCAGGAGAGGGAAGUGGAAUUCCCGGUGUAGUGGUGAAAUGCGUAGAUAUCGGGAGGAACACCAGUGGCGAAGGCGACUUCCUGGCCUGUUCUGACGCUGAGGCGCGAAAGCUAGGGGAGCAAACGGG
rnacentral:rRNA from 1 species